GCAAGUCGAGGGGUAACAGAAUAGCUUGCUAUUGCUGACGACCGGUGCACGGGUGCGUAACGCGUAUACAAUCUACCUUAAACUGGAGGAUAGCCCUAAGAAAUUGGGAUUAAUACUCCAUAGUAAUUAGAAUUCACAUGGAUUUUAGUUUAAAGCUUCGGCGGUUUGAGAUGAGUAUGCGUCCUAUUAGUUAGUUGGUAAGGUAACGGCUUACCAAGACAGCGAUAGGUAGGGGGCCUGAGAGGGUUAUC
rnacentral:rRNA from 1 species